rnacentral:snoRNA from 1 species
UCCUUCUGCAUUAACAGAAGUCUGCUAUAAUUGCAUGGUCCAGAUUUUUAUUUGUUCCAUGCAAUAAUGCUAGCAGAUUAUUGAGUAGAAGGAGAUUGAUGUGCACUGCAUUGAAAAUGGGAUGUUGUCGAACCUCUUUCUUAAUGUUCGUUGGCCUCUAUCUCGAGGUGCAGUGCCACACUC